AUCUUAGUCACCACAGAGUGUUCAGCACCUGUGUCGAUCAUGAAAGAACUUCUCUUUCCCCCUAUUGCUACAUCGACCAUAGGCUCCGCUUGACCAAGUGGGAUGGAGCCCGGUCGGUAACAAUAGUCUUCCAUGAUAGUAUCAGCCAGACCCACAAAAUCUCUAUCCUCUCUUUCUUUAGGUCUCUGCGUGGGUGGAUAGUAUCUGUCUCCUUGAACACUUCCUCUACUAUUCCCAUCAUUCCCUCUAAAAUUUCCUCUUCCUCUAUAACUACCACUAUAACCUCCUCGUACCCUUCUCUCUCCUUGUCUAUCACCUUCAUACUGCUCUCUCUGUGGACACUCACUCUUCCAAUGUCCCUCCUUUCUACAAUACGCACAUUAAUUCCUACUUAAAG